rnacentral:tRNA from 1 species
AGGCAGUGGAUUGUGAUCCA